CAAAUAAUGAAAAUGAAUGAAAACACGGGAGACGGGACCAAAUUGAAAACAACCUUUAUCUCUUUCUUUUUACUCUCUAUCCUGUAAGAUACAACAGAUGUUUCUAGGGUUUGCUCUGCCUACCCAUUCAGAUAUUGAAGAAUCUCAAGGGCUCAUCCUCAUCUCCUAUACUCGCAUCGUAUUUUCUGCUCAAUACUAUAUUCAAAUCUAGGUAUUUCUUUGGUGUUAUUUCUUUGCUUUUCCUUCCGAUUCCCUCAUUUUUAGAUUGUGUUUUUCUUUUUUUGAAGCUUGAAUUUGCCAGGUUUUUCUCCAUCUCUCUCUCUCUAAUAUAUUUAUACAGGGGUGAUUUUUGGAUGUUUUGGAUCGGUUAACUUUUUGUUUAUUCUCGGGACAGGAUUUGAUGGUUAAUUAUUGUAAUUACUGCUAUCAUAUGAUUUUAACUCCAAUUCGUUCUUGCAUAUAAUGCCAAUUCCACGUUUCAUUAGCAUUGGUAUUAUAUUGUUCUUGAAGUCAAUAGGUUGUGGGAAUUUGCAAUUUAGCCAUAUUUGUGUUACGGAAUUGAAUUUUAGUAUUUCUUUUAUGGGUGGACUGGGGUGUGUUCCUAAUGGAGAUUUUGACAUAUAGAGCGGAUGUGUAUUUCAGUUGUAUGUAAGCCUAUAUGUAAAUGGUAAUAACCCUAGUUGGCCUUUUAUGCUUUAUUAUUUUAGAUAAAAAGCUUUUCCAGGAAAAAAAGAGUUAAGAUAUCCUUCCAAUUUUGUCCAUGUUCAACAGUAUGACUCAUUAUACUUGAGUUUUCAAGAAUAAGUCCUGUAGGAUUGUUCAAUAUCAACCACCAAAUUUUGUUUGUGAGAUAAAAGGAGUUUCUCUAUGAGGUAAUAGAAGGAUAUGCUUCAUGCCAUUAUCAAGAAGCAAUAAAAAUAUGACCUUUACCUAGUGAACUUAUACUGGUUACUAAUUAUGUUUUCUAUGUCGAUGGAUGUUGCCAUUUUUGGAAAUUUUAACGUCCUCAUUAUAAAUUGACUUUAACAAUUGGACAGAUUGAUUAGUAAGGAUGGCUUGCCUACUCAGAAUAGAAUAUUGAAUUAUAUUUCUUGGUUCAGAAUACUAGUAAUUGGAUGACACUGAAGCUCUUUCAUUCUCAAUGAAGUGACAAGAUUUUAAUUAUUUCCAUCUCUUGUUUCUCUUAUCCUUUAUUGCCACUUCAAAAUGGAUAUCACAAGUCUGUUAUUGCUACAGUCUAAGAAAUGAAACCUGCAUUAGUACUGCCAUUGUCUUUGGCUUAUAUGCUUUGAUAUUUGUUUAUUGUAUGUUUGCUAAGGCACUUCAAGGUUUUCCACUAGAAAUAAUUUAAAACUUGAGCAGGUUAUUUUAGUUUUGCUUAACAUGUUAUGGUUGCAUUAAAUACAUUAAUAUUUCCUCCUCAAAUCACCUAUGGAAGGUCUUAUAUAUUUCUUGAUAAUUUGAUGUAUAUUCAAUAUAGCUUCAACAUGGGUGGUCAUAGAGUUAAGAAUAAGGAACUAAUGUCAUGGUCGGAUGAGAAUGCAGGGCCGGUCAUGUAUAGAGGCCCAAAACCGGUGGGGGCCUAUUUUUGGGCCAACUUUUUUUUUUUAAAUAAAGAAAAGGGAAAAUCUGCUUUCAUUCUUGCCUAGGUCUGCUCUGCUAGACUCAACGCCGUCAUGUUGACGCCACAACUCCAAUCGGACGACGACCAUGCAACUGCCUCAUUUCCUUAGAUGGCUUCUUCUUCCCUUCCCUUCACUCUUUCACAACUCACAACAAGAGAGAACAAAUCACAACAAUCUAGCCCUUUUUUCAACCUUAACCGCAAAUUUAGCUCCAUUCUAUUGUUGCCGUUUGCAAAAUGCCAAAAUCCAUUCAGCCAUUUCAUUGAAGCAGAAGAACUUUUUAAUCGUUACCCUUGGAAGCAGAAGAUCGGAGGUCUGUACAGGUUAAGCGUAUGUUGAUUUGUCUAAAUGGAUUGAUAUAAUUAUAUGUAAUUGUUAUCUUGGACCCUUGGUUUGAAACCUUAGACAUUGUUUACAUGGUUCUUGCUUUGUGUUGUGGUUUUUAAUUAGAAUGGUGCAUCUUUUAGUUUUUAAUGAAACUGUGAAGCAUGUACACGAGAUAAAGUGCUUUAUACUUCGCUUGCAGUUAUGCUUUUGUUGUUUGUGUGUGCUUUAUGCUGAGUUCUGGAAUUCUGAUGCACUGCUUGCAGAACUCUGAAAUCUUGUUGUCAUCAUUUAAAGAGCUGGGUUGCUGUUAUAUUUUUAGUUUUAUUUGUGAAAUACUUCCUUGUUUUUAUAUGUUUGUUUGAACUUGAAUAAGAGAUGUGUAAUUUAUUUAGGAAUUGUUCGUGUCAAGGAUAAUGCUUGCUUAUGUUUUGUCCCUUCUAAUAUUAGUUAAUUGAGGAAGUCUAGGUAAGGUUCUUGAAGUUAGGUUGUGUAUCUAUUUGCAGAAUAUAAUAUUUUCUUAAUGAUUGUUUUUGGUUGCCGACAUAUUUGAAUAUCUAGUUUUCUUGUCAUAUAGUUCAAUGGUUGGGAUUUUUUACUCAAAAUGAUAGACUAUUGAGACAAGAUAGAAAAAUGUUUUUAUUUUGUUUGUGGAUGUGAUUAUGACUCACCUAGAAGUUACGGCAUGUUUGUGCAUAAUGCUACAUGGUAAAUGUCUAGUGAAAUGAUUCCUACUUAGUAGGAUAACAUUUAGCUAAAAUGAUCUACAGUUUUUAAAUUUUCUCGAACUUCUGUUAAACAGAAUGGAUUAAUGCAAUAGAAUUGUAUAUUUGUAUUGGUGGUUGAUGUUAAAUUUUUAUUUUAGGCUUGUGAGUUAUGAUGGUAGCAUUCUCAAGGGUGUGAUUUCAUAAUUUUCAUCGAAAUUCUACUUCUUAGGUAAGCAAUGGCUUGCUCUAACUUGUUAUUAAAUAUAUUGAAAAUGUUUCAAGCCUAGUCGGCUUAUAUAAUUGUGGUACAAUCAGCUUAUAUGAUUUGUUAUUGUAGGAUCAAUUUCACAUUCGCACGUAGUAACUAUAUUGAAAACAUUAAUUACGAGAUGAUUGAGAUAUUUUGUAAUUGUUUUUUAGGUUAGUCUUUGAGCAUUAGAUAUAUACCAUGCCUCCUGAAUAUGAGUCUGGAGCUCUAUGUUAGCAAUAUGUUGCAUAAUACACUUUUGGAUUUUGCAUUUUCGCUCAUUUGGGGGGCGUAAUUUUUGGAGUUCGCCUCAGGCUCGAAAAUCACAGGACUAGCCCUGCGAGAAUGAACACGCUUUUAUCGAAAUUCUUUAGAGAAAGUGAAAUAUCGAAAUUCUUUAGAGAAAGUGAAAUAUCGAAAUUCAUUGUAAUGUUCUAUAUUCACGAAAGACGAAUAAGGCAGGAUCAAUGAAACCAUGAUAGCUUCAAUACGGCAUAGAUAGAUUAAAGGGAAAGUUGAACUUCUUACGUAAGAUUCAUCAUAUGUUCUCUGAAUCUUUUGGGACAUACAAGUGUCACAUGGGAUCCAAAUACCAACAAAGUUAAUGCUGCGAAGGAAGUUUGGCAACACCUUUAAAUGGUACAUAUAUUUAUUAAAUUUUCGUCAUUAGUUUUUAUCUUAUCAAUUUUAAAUUUUUUUUUUGUUGAAUACUAUGACAAUAUGACUUCUUUUAUCAAUGGUAGAUAAAAAAGUUGGAUUACGAGAUGUUCAAGAGCAAAGGAUGUAAGCACUACCACAUUCUUGGGAAGAUAUUAAGUGGGACUACUGCUACUGGAGGAUUAGGUAAUGCCUCCACUCAACUUCCAAACACAUUAGAGGAAGAAAGGCAACUAGAAUAUGAUUUUUUGAACAAGGGAGUGUAGGUAUAUGCGAAAAAUGAUGAUAAAGUUGACGACAUUUAAAAUAUUCAUCAACAUGAUGAAAUUGCUACAUCGGGUGAACUUCAAGGCCUACAUGGCACAGUGGUGAUCUACAGUUAGUUUGAUGAAUAAAGAAACUGAAAUUAGAACACUUUACCUAAAAGAAAAGCUUGCAAAGAUCCAAGGAAAAUCAUGUAAUCAAUCGGAUAGUGAAGUUAAAAGUCCGGAUCCUUAUUAUGUUAUUUGCUUGGGAAUCUUAAACAAUAUGGAAUGGGUGUCCAAUGAGGUUUAUAUGAAAGCAAUAAAGGCUUUUAAGAAUCCCGAUUUCAGGGUGUCAUUUGUAAAGACGCUAGAGGCAAGGUGACCUAUGUUGGAACUACUUUGAUGUGACUGUUAUUUUAAUUUCUCUAGUAUCGUGUUGUUUUAAUUUGUGAUGUUGAAGGUUGAAAUACUGUGUUUUGAAGUACUUUUUUUCCUUUCAUGGUGUUGUGUUGUUUUCAUUACAAACUUCGUGAUGCUGUUGGUCGUAGAACUGAUAUUAAUUUUUCUUUAGUUUCUGAAUACAAUAUUGCUUGUUCUGUUUGAAAGAAUGAUGGUUGUAUUUUCUUUAGUUUAUGAUAAUUAUUGUGGUUAUAUUUUGUUCAUAGUAUGGCCAUGAAUCAAAUGUGGAUGAUACUGUGAGUACCUAUGAUUCCAUUGAUGAAGAUUCGAGUGAUGAUUAUUUUUUAUUUAUGGAUGAUUUUGAUUCAAAUUUUGGAGAUUUAAUGAUGCUUAAUUGCUUUGUUGCCAACAAAGGAAGUACUAUUGGCAUGAGACCUUAUAGAAUAUCAUUGCUUAUGGGAAAAUGUAUGUGCUAGAAAUUCUGAAUGGACAUCCGGACGUGUGUUAUCUUAAUUUUCGUGUGCAGAAACAUGUUUUCAAGAAUUUUUUUGAUAUUUUGAAAGAAAAAGGGUUGUUGAAAGAUGGAAAAAAAGUGAGCGUCAAGGCAGGUAUUGAUAUGUUUUUGAUGAUUGUAGGGCACAUUACACAAUACAGUGUUAUUGGUGAUAGGCUUUGGCAUUCCAACUACACGAUACACAAAUAGUUUAAACGAAUAGUAAGUGUUGUUUGUUCAUUUGGUACUGAGAUAAUUCGUCCGACAAAUCAAGACAUUGUGCAUGAGCGGAUUUUGCACAAAUAUCCUUUCUUUAAGGAUUGUAUAGGCGCAAUAGAUAAGACACAUGUUGCAGCUUGGGCACCUACAUCGAGACAAAAAUCUUUUCGUGGAAGGAAAAAUAAUGUAACCCAAAAUGUGAUGUUAACAUAUGAUUUUGAUAUGGAAUUCACAUUUGUGUAUUUUGGUUGGAAAGGUUCUGGUAAUGAUUCGUGAGUAUUCAUUGACGUAGUCACAAGAUGUUCGAACAAUUUUCCAAUGUCAAGGAGAGGUAUAUUUUUAUACUUCAAAUAAUUAAUGUGAAUAUAUUUACAGUGUCACACUAUGUAAGCCUUUUUUUUUAUUUUGCAGAUCAAUUUCACCUUGUUGAUUCUCGAUAUCCAAACAUGCCUGGAUUUCUUGCCCCUGCUCGGGGUCAAAGAUAUCAUCUGCAUUACUAUGUUGGACGGGGAAGACUACGUAGGAAGGAAGAAUUGUUCAAUUAUAGACACUCCUCAUGUCAUAACAUUAUUGAAUGUUGCAUUGGAGUUUUAAAGGCAAGAUUUCCAAUUUUGACAAAUUCCUACUGCAUGUUGCACAAUAAACAACUUUAUUCGUUAGGAGCACACUUUAGAUAAGUUGGUUGUUGAGUUUUCAGAGAAGAAUAUGGUGUUUCAAGAUAUACCAGAGUCAAGUCAAGAUCAAGAAGUCAUACAUUUUGAUGCUAGACAAAUAGCUCAAAUGGGACAAGUUAGGGAUCAAAUUGCUGCACAAAUCUGGAAUGACUACUCAAGACGUCGUACAUGAUUUUGUGAAAGUACUUUAUAUAUUGUUUAGUGUCUGCUUAUUUUGCCUUGACACAAACUUCUAAUAAUAUCCAUUGAACUAUUUUGCCAAAUUUAAUUUAGGUUGUAUUUUUUAUAUCUGUUAACAAAAUAUUUCAAGCCAAGUUCGAACACGAAUGUGAAGCAUCAAAAAUUUAUUUGCUG
rnacentral:lncRNA from 1 species